UUACAGGCUGUAUGGAAAAGACGCCCCAGCCUUUCCCAGAAAGUCCAAAUGUGAUCUGAGCUACUUGCUGGGCGGUGAGCAACAUGGCGGCCCGGUGUUCUGAAGCACGGCGGGAUGUGUCAGUGUGGUGCAAGGACUGACACGGGGGCGAGAUGCACUUCAUGGCUACGAGCUGUGAGCUAGUGGGAUGGUGAAGUUGGUCUGUAUUUAUUUACCGACCCGACAUCACAUUUCUGCUUUUUUCUCGAAAAUAUGGCUCAGUUUUGACUGGCAUUGUCAGAGAGGGUGUCCUUUAGAGAUGUAGUUAUUAUUGUGGUUGUUUAGACUUAGACUGUUGGUGCUGUGGAUAAUAUAUAUAUCUAUAUUUUAAUGGGUUUUAUGCCACUGCAAACUACAACCAUAUUAAAAAAACAAACAAAUGUAUUGUGAAAUGAAUAACUGACCGUCAAAAGUACGUGUUAUUAGUGCAAAGGUCAUGAUAAUGUACUGUAUGUCUGUGGGCACACUCGGGCUUUGCACAAUAUAUUGUGCAGAACUGUCUGUAUUACUAAACUAAAGAGGACAAGGGUGUAUGUUAAGGAUGUGUGCACUUGAGGCUGAAUUAUGUGUGAGAUUGAUGAAGGCGAAACAUUCUCACAGGCGUACAUGUUUGUGUCGACUUGACUAUCUCUCCCUAUUUCUCUAUGUCGUCAGCUUCCCUUAGAUGUUCCCUGUGACCUAUGACCUCAGAGUUGGGGUCAAGCCCUGAUAAAUAAGAUGGCAGCGUUCUGACCAGAACUGCAAACAUUCCACAACAAUCUCGCCUCGUAUCCGUGAUGUGUCACCGGGCGCUACACUCCCCCCUUCUACUCUACGUGUCUGCUGUGACUUGGGCAGAAUGCCAGCGUCUGCCGUUUCCCACCUUUUCCUCCAAGACUCGCAGCUGUAAUAGACGCCUGCACUCUACUCACGCACACGUCAGGCGUGGUGGUAUGAGGUACUGAGGGGUUCUCCAUUCCCCUUGGUCUCUACCACCCCAUCUGGCUAUGAUUGCACAAUGCUGUCCUUCCACUUCUACUGAACCAGAGGAGACAAUCCUGCCACUCCAGCAGAGCCGUAAGUCUUCGGUACUUACACAUCCCUCUCAGGCCUCACAAUGACAAUGAACUAUCUAGGAGGGGCGGGGGGGUCGGCCCUUUCUCGCCAGUAAUGGAAGCGGUUACUGCUAUUCCCUACACAUCUGCGGAAACAGCUAACUGUUAACUACCGUGA